GCAGUGGUGGUUCGGUGAUAGAAUUCUCGGCUUCCACGUGAGAGACCAGGUUCGAUUCCGGCCGUUGCA
rnacentral:tRNA from 1 species